UACGAAGGGGGCUAGCGUUGUUCAGAAUUACUGGGCGUAAAGCGCACGUAGGCGGAUUGUUAAGUCGGGGGUGAAAUCCCGGGGCUCAACCCCGGAACUGCCUUCGAUACUGGCGAUCUCGAGUCCGGAAGAGGUUAGUGGAAUUCCCAGUGUAGAGGUGAAAUUCGUAGAUAUUCGCAAGAACACCAGUGGCGAAGGCGGCUCACUGGCCCGGUACUGACGCUGAGGUGCGAAAGCGUGGGGAGCAAACAGG
rnacentral:rRNA from 1 species